CGACGUCAGUGCAUUGUUAAAAGUAGUCGUCAAAGUGUCGAACUAGAAGUUAAUAAUAAAUUGAAACCUUCUAGGUUAUCACUUCUCAGCUUACAGUAAUGGCACACUGCCAAUGUGUGUAGUUGCAUGUAGAGGUCAUUCAUGGUCCUGUUAAAGCACAAACCAAGCCCCACGAGUACUUUUUGGAGGCCAGCUUUCACACAUCCUGUGAAACCACUCUUUACAUCCCGUACACUCUAUGGUGUGCCAAGCCUGUGCUCUUGUGGAAUUCAGUGGCUGAUACUCUAUUCUUCGACAACUGCAGGAAUGCUGACAUGACUUUACUUAACAGGGAUUUUUUCAAAUGUUGCCUCAUGACGCCCCUGUUAUAGAUGGACUGUGAUGGAUCUUCGCCCAAUGCUAGAGUUAUGGCAUUUGCAAUCGCAUGAAGGCCACAAUCAUUCGGCAAUUGCUGCUGACAUCCAACACUUUGAUCCUCCCAAACUAUCAUAAAUGGAAACCGAAUCUUCUCCUUUCGAUUUGGAUGCCACAACCCAAUGCCCCUUGCCAUCGUGGAUUAUUUGUAUCCAUUUUUCACUAGUAGCAGCGGGAAAUUCCAGAUCCCAGCCGAGAG